GCCUGCUGCCGGCCGCUCGUUGAUGGCGGCCGAGCCCGGCUGCGUGCCCUCGCCGCGGCCUGGCUGCUGAACGACAUUCACCGGCGGAUCGAUCCCGUGCCCGGAGGAGCUCGCCGGUCGAGAGAUUUUGUCUAGGAACAUGGCUGGCCAACACAUCCUUCCUCAGGCUUUGUAUCAGAGCAACAUGCUGAAAGCUGUGAAGAUUAGAGAGAGGACACCUGAAGAUCUGAUCAAACCUCCCAGUGGAAUAAUUCACCACUUCAGGACUAUGCACAGAUACACUAUAGAAAUGUUCAGAAUGUGCCAGUUUUGCCCUCAAUUCCGGGAAAUGCUUCAGAAGGCCCUGACUGACCAAGCCACCCAGACUUCGCUGGAACGCCAGAGGAAGCUGAACUGGUGCAUGGAGGUCAGGAGACUUGUGCCUUUGAAAACUAAUGGUGAUGGAAAUUGCCUCAUGCAUGCUGCAUCGCAGUACAUGUGGGGUAUUGAAGAUGUUGACCUCGUCCUAAGGAAAACGUUGUUUAGUGCACUCAGGGAGAUUGACACACAGAACUUCAAGCUGCGCUGGCAGCGGGAGGCUAUUAAAUCCCAGGAGUUUGUGCAAACGGGACUCCACUUUGACACCCGGAACUGGGAGGAGGAGUGGGAGUAUCUCAUAGAAAUGACCUCCCCAGAAACAUCUGGGGCUCGAAACAGACUUCCUUAUAAUGCACUGGAAGAAAUCCACAUCUUUGUUCUUGCUAACAUCCUCAGAAGACCAAUCAUUGUCCUUGCAGAUAAAGUUGUGAGAAGUUUAGAAUCAGGCUCCAGUUUUGCUCCUCUGAACGUUGGUGGUGUUUACCUGCCACUCCUUUGGCCAGCUGAAGAGUGCUACAGAUAUCCAAUUGUGCUCGGCUAUGACAAUAUGCAUUUUACACCACUUGUGACCCUGAAGGACAGUGGGCCAGAAAUCCGGGCUGUCCCUCUGGUCACCAGCGAACGAGGCAGAUUCGAGGAUUUGAACGUGCACUUUCUGACAGAUGCAGAGGAGAGGGAGAAGGAGCAGCUGCUGAAGGACUACUUGAUAGUCAUAGAAAUUCCAGUGCAAGGCUGGGAUCAUGGCACAACUCAUUUAAUUAAUGCUGCAAAGUUGGAUGAAGGCAACCUGCCCAAAGAAAUAAAUCUUGUGGAAGACUACUUUCAGCUGGUGCAGCAUGAGUACAAGAAAUGGCAGGAGCAUGCUGAGCCUGCCAGAAAAGAGGCCUGCUCCAGGAACAGACAGGAACUGUCUUUUUCCCAGCUCUCCCUCUUACAGGUGAAAUGUGAAACUCCAAACUGCCCUUUCUAUAUGUCUGUGAACACCCAGCCCUACUGCCAUGAGUGCUAUGAACGGAGGACACAAGGAAGCAAAGGAAGAAAGCAGGUCUCUGAAGCAGCACCUGAGAAACUGAAGGCAGCUGGGUCAGGCUCCUCCUGUGGUAAAGCUUGUGAACCUGGGGGUUGGAUGUCUGAGGAGGCUGUAACAGGGCCUCGCUCUGCACCCCCAACUGCUCCCAGCCUUUUCCUCUAUAGUGAAACCACUGCCAUGAAAUGCCGGACUCCAGACUGCCCCUUCACCUUAAACGUGCAACACAACGGACUUUGUGAACGCUGCUACAAUGCCAGACAGCUUGCUCCUUGUAACAAUUUAGAUGACCAGAGAUGUUUGGACUAUGCCACGUGUAAAGUCUGCCUUCAGAAGGCCAACAGGACAUUUAAUGGCAUCUGCAGCACUUGUUUCAAAAGGACUACAGAGCGCUCCUCGAAUGGCAGCCCUGGUUUUGUACCUACAUGCCAUCAGAGAUCUACAUCUGACCCAUCUCAGAUCCCACAGAGCCUCCUUCAGCAUUCCUGCCAGCAAGCUCCUAACAACAACUGUGAUGAGCUGCCGUUGGCUGCGCUGCCUCAUGCCCCACACGCUUUGGAAGAGAAGAAGGGAAGUAAGCUCUGCAGGAAGCCUGGCUGCAAGUUUUUUGGAACAGCUCAGAAUGAGGGCUUUUGCACGCUGUGCUUCUUUGAAUACAGGGAAAACCAUGACAGUGCUUCACUACGCCAUCAGAGGAGAUCUCAGAGGAAUUCCUCAGCAGCUGGUCAACAGGGGAGCUCAGCUGCCACUUUCCACAAUACCAUGUCCUGCCAACAGCAGAACUGUAGCACCCUGGGUAGCACCAUGCUGGAGGGUUACUGCCAGAACUGUUUCAUUAAAGCCCAGAGCCAGCGAUUUCAGGAAGCCAGAAGGACAGAAGAACAGCUAGUGAGACAGCCUGAAAGAACAGGACAGCGCAGAGAUCUACAGCGAGCAGCACUGACUAGCCAGAAGAGACAAUGUGCCGUGGCUUCAUGUCGAAACAACCUGGCCUGCAGAAGCAGUGAGCUGUGCCAGCAGUGCCAGCGCCUUGGCCAGCUUGUGCAGCUGGGGGGUCCCAGGGAGCCAGCUGCAGAUGAGCCCCCGAAGCAACGCUGUCGAGCCCCUGCUUGCGACCACUAUGCUGAGUGAAGCAGAGACAAGUAGACACAAGAAAAAGUACAAACAAGUUCUUUAUUCUGCAACUCCAUUUGAGCACUCUAAAGAUAGCAUCAAGGACUGCAUGGAAAUCCCCUGGAUACACUUUGUAAUUUUUUCCGGUGAAUUUCGGGAUAGCAAAUAUGAAAGGCGAGGAUACUCUUUGGACAUAGAAGAACCAGGAUGAAACUUGCCCAGAGGAAGCACGUGGAGCAAGAUACAUGUCCCUGCACUAAACAGUUACCUAAAUAAAAAGCUCACUAUGUUACCAUUUCCACAGUUACUUUGAGUGUUAAAGAAAUGUAUUUGAAUUCCCAAAAAAUUUCCAGCUCAGGCCCUGUAUGUUUCCAGCGUAGAAAACCAGUGCCCACAGAAGAAAAGGCUGAAUUAGAUCAAAUCUGGCACGGAUCUCUGCAGAAAAUAAGUAGAGAAGCCAUGUGCUGAAGAUUACUUACUGCCAACCUACUUACAAUUUGUCCAUUUCAAAGUGCACACUGUUUUUUGCAGCGAGAGUUUCUGUAUUUUUCUGACACAACAUUGUACAUUAUUGAAGCAAGUACCUCACAGAAGUCUACAUUAUUCCUUUUACAAAUCAUACUAGAAACUGAUGUCAGAAAAGCAUGGUUUUUAUUAAUUAACAUGGACUCACAUGAGCAAUUGUCCUUCAUCUUUAAGCAACUUUUGCAGGAUUUGUGGGUGUAAGUUGGAUUUGGGAAAAGUGACGUUAUUUACUUAUAUCACGUAAGAACAGCACUUUCCAUUACACUUAUAGGUAAGACAAAUUAAAAACAAAAACAAACAAACAAACAAAAAAACACAGGAAGUUUACAGAACACUUUUCACCUCUGCAUUUAGAAUUGUUUAUCUCCAGAGGAGAUGCUAACUACUUCUGAGUUGAAUUUGAUGCUAAAAAAUCUUUAUUGCCUUUAGCUUUGCUAACCUUUGAUUUUCCCUCAGUGUGAUUGCAAGUUGGACAAGUGAAGAAGUUCAAAAUAUUCCUAAGUUCCUCCUACAAACGUCCACGUGCUGUUUUUGUGAAAUGAAAUUGUAUUGAAAAGAUCUAAUCAUUUUACACAGAUCAAAAUUGACCUAUAGUGGUAUCACAUGGUGUAAAAGUUCUCCAGUAACAUUAACCUUUAUUAGUCCCUCUAUAUCCACCUAAACCCCAUGAAACAUAAACAAAAUUACCCUUAGAAAAGUUCCAUACCAGGCAAAUUUUUUUACCUAUCUCUGUCCCAAACAUGCAAACUACCAUAUCUUCUGCCAUCCUGCACUAGUCUUUGGGGAGUUUCAAUCCCUGUAUGUGGGUGAGAAGUGGUCACACCAUAAAAAACAACUCAGAUGUCAAAUGAACUAAUGGAUGACACAUAGUGCGUACUGGCUUACAGUUUAACCUUCAGGUUUUGGCAAUAUGUGGUAAUGCAGAAAGUUCUCUGCUCCUACAUGUCUGCACAAUUCAUCCAGCUCCACUGCCAUAUUCCUGCUGCUGAGUUGUUCCCACAUAGCAGAGAAAAGGUUCCUUUUCUCUCAGCCUGGAAAAUGUGAUGACUUUUAUUUAUAGUUCCACUCAAUCACUGUGUUGUACCAAGGCUAAACAAACUACAAACAUGAUUAAAAGCAAUUUUUAUAUUAUUCUUUUCCUGUGUUAAAUAAGAGAAAAUGAUGUGUUAUGGAUUUCCUCCACCAGGAUGCUGAAAACUUUCAAGAGGAAAGCAUUAAUUUAAGAAAUAGUAAUUCAUUUUUUGCACAGAGAUUUACCUAGGAGCAUAAGCAAAAGAGCGAGGGUUUUCUGCCUCCACUCCCA